rnacentral:lncRNA from 1 species
AUGAUACAGUAUUUUCUUCUUUUUUUUUCCUCCCCCCCCCCCUUUCCUUCCAAAGGAAAAAAAAAAAUGCUCCUAAGGCGGAGCAAGCGGAAACUAAUACAAUUAAAUACUUUGCUUUGCCUGCCAAGGACAUUUGACUGCUACUGUGCUACAUCAGGCUUGAUCCUCAGCCAGCACAGACUAGCAGAGCUCGGUUUUACUCCAGCAGAACUUCCCUGAUUAAGCAGGUAAGCACCUGGCCCACAGCGAGCCCAAGAAAUUUGCACUAACAGUUCUUUCAAGGAUGAAUUUCAUUACUAGAGACCAAAGGUGGACCACAUGCAAACACAUGCAUAUCAACACAUGCACAUCACACCACUGCCAUUCCUGAAACCACUUAGCAGGAGGCAUGCUGGAGCCUAUAAAAAAGGAAAACACAGAACUUGAAAUGCAUCAUUCCCAACAGACUCUGCUGGACGUAAGCAGAGGAGCCAGUAGAAGUUUCCUUCUGUAUUGGGCUGCCCCCAUGGCGUGUCCCAUGUGGGAACACACCACGCUUCCCAUCAGCUGUCUGUCCAGCUCCUUUCACCUGCUCUGGGUUUAACCAUAAAAUUUUUAUAACAAGUAUUUCUGUAUGCCUCACCUCUACUCUCCUUGGUAGCUGUCCCUAAUUUCCAUUAAAGCUCAUGGGGUGCUUCCAGGGGAGGGCACAGUCCUUCAGGAGGGUCUGUCACUGUGAGGAUGAACCGUUUCUGUGCUACCUGUCAUUUAUCUUUGUCUUCUAAAAUGGGAGGAUGAAACAGGUACUAAGAAGUUGUGAACCAUCACUAGCUGUCUGCAAACUUAUCAGCUCUCAUUUGCUGAUUUACAUUCAGUGCACAGACUUGUAAUCAUUUUAAAUGAGAAAAAAAAAAAGGAAAAAAUACACAUACAACAACCAUCAAUACAUAUUUAAUGAGGUUCGAUAGCUCUAAAUUUACUAGGAUUGAUCUCAGCACAGAAAGGCUGACUGUUCAAACUUACAGUAAC